rnacentral:rRNA from 1 species
CCUACGGGGCGCAGCAGUGAGGAAUAUUGGUCAAUGGACGAGAGUCUGAACCAGCCAAGUAGCGUGAAGGAUGACUGCCCUAUGGGUUGUAAACUUCUUUUAUAUGGGAAUAAAACGAUCCACGUGUGGGAUUUUGUAUGUACCAUAUGAAUAAGGAUCGGCUAACUCCGUGCCAGCAGCCGCGGUAAUACGGAGGAUCCGAGCGUUAUCCGGAUUUAUUGGGUUUAAAGGGAGCGUAGGUGGAUUGUUAAGUCAGUUGUGAAAGUUUGCGGCUCAACCGUAAAAUUGCAGUUGAAACUGGCAGUCUUGAGUACAGUAGAGGUGGGCGGAAUUCGUGGUGUAGCGGUGAAAUGCUUAGAUAUCACGAAGAACUCCGAUUGCGAAGGCAGUUCACUGGACUGCAACUGACACUGAGGCUCGAAAGUGUGGGUAUCAAACAGGAUUAGAUACCCUGGUAGUC